UACAGAGGGGGCAAGCGUUGUUCGGAAUUACUGGGCGUAAAGGGCGCGUAGGCGGCCAACUAAGUCGGACGUGAAAUCCCCAGGCUCAACCUGGGAACUGCGUCCGAUACUGGAUGGCUUGAAUCCGGGAGAGGGAUGUGGAAUUCCAGGUGUAGCGGUGAAAUGCGUAGAUAUCGGGAGGAACACCUGUGGCGAAAGCGGCGCACUGGACCAUAACUGACGCUGAGGCGCGAAAGCUAGGGGAGCAAACAGG
rnacentral:rRNA from 1 species